AUUAUAAAUUGAAAAAAAGUGAUAUUUCUAAGCCGAUUUUCGAACAUCUGACCAUUCCAAACGAAAGAGCAUACUUUUUUCUAUAUAAUGGCAUAUUCUUUAGAGAUCUUUUCUAAAUAGUUAAAAUUUUAUGAAGAAUAUAGACAAAUUUGAGUAUCGUUCGAUAGGGAAUUUUCACGGUUUUUUCAAUUAUAAUUUGAAAAAAAGUGAUAUUUCUAAGCCGAUUUUCGAACUUCUGACCAUGGCAAACGAAAGAGCAUACUUUUUUCUAUAUAAUGGCAUAUUCUUUAGUGAACUUUUCUAAAUAGUUAAAAUUUUAUGAAGAAUAUAGACAAAAUUUGAGUAUCGUUCGAUAGCGAAUUUUCACGGUUUUUUCAAUUAAAAAUUGAAAAAAAGUGAUAUUUCUAAGCCGAUUUUCGAACAUCUGACCAUGGCAAACGAAAGAGCAUACUUUUUUUCUAUAUAAUAGCAUAUUCUUUAGAGAACUUUUUUAAAUAGUUAAAAUUUUAUGAAAAAUAUAGACAAAAUUUUAGUAUCGUUCGAUAGCGAAUUUUCACGGUUUUUUCAAUUAUAAAUUGAAAAAAAGUGAUAUUUCUAAGCCGAUUUUCGAACAUCUGAUUAUUCCAAACGAAAGAGCAUGCUUUUUUCUAUAUAAUGGCAUAUUCUUUAAUGAUCAUUUCUAAAUAGUUAAAAUUUUAUGAAGAAUGUAGACAAAAUUUGAGUAUCGUUCGAUAGCGAAUUUUUACGGUUUUUUCAAUUUUAAAUUGAAAAAAAGUGGUAUUUCUAAGCCGAUUUUCGAACAUCUGAUUAUUCCAAACGAAAGAGCAUGCUUUUUUCUAUAUAAUGGCAUAUUC